ACAGUGAUUCCAAACAGUUUAAUGUAAUUCCAAGACAAAGUGUGAUUACAUUUCUACACAUAUACAAUAUGCAUAUGUGAGUUUACAAAUUUUAAUUAAUAACUCGUUUCACCUCAGAGACCGAAAAAAUGAUCAAAAAGAAACUGUGAGUAACAAGCUAUAACAUAGUUCACCACAACGGGACCCCCCCCUUCCUCACCCUACAGUUAGUAAUAUUACAAUUAAAAUAACUAUAUUCUUCUAUAAUUUUUUUCUGUUAAAAUCAUCUCAUAAAUUUACAAUGCUAUUAUUAGUUUCCAAGACUAAUAUAAAUUCACUCCAUUUUUCUACAACAAAAAUGAUCAUUAAUUUAGAAGCACACGACGUCAUGAUGAAAAACACAAGCAUUUUAGUAGCAAGGACUGGAUCAGUUAAGAAUUAUUUUUCUUGUAAAACAUUCUAAAGCCAAGUAAAAUAUCCAUUCUUAUAACAUACCUAUAAUAUGAGACUAAGGAAUAGGUUACAUAUAGGCCUACGACACAUUGGUUUGUCUUUUUUUAAAAAAAGUAGACAUUUAUAAAUAAAAAAAGAAAAGA
rnacentral:lncRNA from 1 species